UUUUGCUUUUCAGCUUAGGGUUUCUCUUCCCUCCCUCCCUCCCUCCCUCUCUCUCUCUAUCUGUGAACUUCAUCUUCUCGACAAUGGCGAACCGCACGGACCCGUUGGCGAAGAGCAUAAGGGGGACGAACCCCCAGAACCUGGUCGAGAAGAUCGUGCGUUCGAAGAUAUACCAGAACACUUACUGGAAGGAACAGUGCUUCGGCCUGACGGCGGAGACGCUCGUCGACAAGGCCAUGGAGCUCGACCACAUCGGCGGCACGUUCGGAGGCAACCGCAAGCCCACGCCUUUCCUGUGCUUGGUCCUCAAGAUGCUGCAGAUCCAGCCCGAGAAGGACAUCGUCGUGGAGUUCAUUAAGAACGAGGAUUACAAGUAUGUUCGUGUACUCGGUGCCUUUUACUUGCGUCUCACAGGAACAGAUAUGGAUGUUUAUCGAUACUUGGAGCCUUUGUACAAUGACUAUCGCAAAGUGAGGCAAAAGUUAACUGGUGGAAACUUUUCCUUGACACAUGUGGAUGAGGUCAUUGAUGAACUCUUGACGACGGACUAUUCAUGUGAUGUUGCAUUGCCGCGCAUCAAGAGAAGAUGGACUCUCGAAUCAGCUGGUGCUCUAGAUCCCAGAAAAAGUGCUCUUGAAGAUGAUUUUGAGGAAGAGGAGGAGAAGGAAGAGAACGAACAACUUGUUGAUGGUCUAGAAGCUGGUGCUCCCGAAAAGGACUAUUAUCGCGGACGAAGCCCAACAAGGGAAAGAGAUAGAGAUAGAAGGCGUGAUAGUCACCGACACAGAGAUCGAGAUUAUGACAGGGAUUACGACAGAGACUAUGAGAGAGAACGAGGACGUGGAAGGGAGAGAGAUAGGGACAGAGACAGGGAUAGGGACAGAGACAGGGAUAGAGACAGAGAUAGAGAGAGAGACAGGGACCGGUAUCGUGUAAGAGAUGAAAGAGACUAUGGUCGCGAGAGGGAUCAUGAAAGAGAAGGUAGAGAACGAGAUAGGCGAGACAGAGACCGUGGGCGGAGAAGGAGCCAGUCAAGAAGUCGAAGUAGGAGCAGGGACCGCAAGGACCGUGAUGGUGGGGAACACCGUAAGAGACAUGCGCGUGGCAGCACAAGUCCUAGAAGACGUGGGCAUGAAGAUGGCGGUGCUCGAGAAGAGCCAAAGAGGAAGAAAGAGAAGAAGGAAAAGAAGGAUGAUGGGACAGACCAUCCCGACCCAGAGAUUGCAGAAGCAAACAGGUUGCGUGCUUCUCUGGGGUUGAAACCGUUGAAGCUGUAGGCGUGAUGGUUGCAAAGGCAUGUUGCUUGAGUGAUUACUGACGUUGGUGCUUAGUCUGAUGGAAUGCACAUCUCGCUAUGGUGUCUUCACUGUAUAGAUUGAGUGGUUUUAUGCUGGCGUCUUGAGAUGUAUGAUACAUUAUCAUCUUAUCCUUUUCGAUUGCUUGAUUGGGCGCUAUUGAUGUGAGUUACAUGA